GCUAGUUACUGGUGAGGAGCUGUGGGAGUAGUUAGGGUGCAAGGGUUUGUCGAAGUGAUUUGGCGUAAAGAGUUCUUAUGCGGUUUGUUGCGUCGGUCGUGAAAGCCAGCGGCUUAACCGUGGGGCUGCGGUGGAUCCGGGCAGACUAGAGGCAGGUAGGGGAGAACGGAAUUCCCGGUGUAGCGGUGAAAUGCGCAGAUAUCGGGAGGAACACCGGUGGCGAAGGCGGUUCUCUGGGCCUGUACUGACGCUGAGGAGCGAAAGCGUGGGGAGCGAACAGGAUUAGAUACCCGAGUAGUC
rnacentral:rRNA from 1 species